GUGUCUCCCAGCCCCACCUGAGGCAGCCUCAGCUAUAAUGCAAACCACCUGAGCUCCUUUUACCUGAAUUGUUUGCACCUGGCCCUGAUUUGCUCAGUCCCAACCAGGAGUGGCUGAGGCUCCACCCCUCCCUUGCACAGGUAAAAGGGCUGGGCAGAGGCUGCUGCUCUUUUGGUAGGAAACUUCCCUGGCACAAACUUUAACCCGGAGGAAUGAGUCUGUAGCUGCAACAGGAGAUAGAAACCCAGAGGCACAAAAUGGAACAAACAGGAUUCCUGCAUCAGUCAGUUCUGUGCUGCUUUCAGAAGACAUCUGCCUGGUGCUUGGGAUGGAAGUUGCACUCUUUGCUCUCUGGGGAUGGCUUCCCCUGGCUGGAGUAUUGGUUCCUGCCUUCCCUAAGGGCCGCCUUUGCCUGCUGCUUGUUUUCCUCCCUGAAUGCCUGUUCCCAAGGGAAAGUGCUGCUUUAGGGUCAUGCUCCACUCCUGCUGAGCCCUGGUGAGGGCUGUCAGAGCCCUUCCCAAGAUGGUGAUGAGGACUGCAGGCAGUGCUCACCUGGGCUGUGCUUUGGGGCCCCCAGGAGCAGCAAAGCUCAUCUGUGAACUCCAGCACAACACGGGCUGUAUGUUGAGGUAAUCAGCAUCCUUGAUCUUCUCCUCUGAGACCCAGCAGUUAGCUUAUUUGCACUCUGUUGUGGCAAAAAUACAAAGAAAACAAAUAUGAAAGAUUAUUUAAUGAACUCUGGAAAUGAAUAAUGAAUACAUCAUUUUAAGUGGUUCUUCAGGCUGCUACAGAGUGUUAUCCUGAGAUGUGAGAGCAGGAAUCUUGGCUGAUGC